rnacentral:lncRNA from 1 species
UUUCUCUUGUUAAGGUAGAUGGGGUGUCUAAAUUAUAAUCCAUAGAAUUUUUUGAUAAUUUGCCAAAAUGUAGUUUAUAACCUGCUUGUUUCAAAACAUUAAUUAAAAGAAUGGGUCACCGGACUUAUUUUCACACUACAGGUUGUGCAAAAUUGUCAGAUUUAGUAUAGAAUAUGCAUGGGAAACCCAAUUUUCCUCAUUAAAACGAAAACUACACCAUAGAAUUUUUAGAUAAAAUAUGAGAGGAUGGCUGCAAUAUUAUUCUUUCAGAUAAGAAAAAGAAAAAUGGGGGUCACCGAACUCGUUUUCUUGCUACAUAAUAAAAUGGGUAAAUUCCUAACACAUUCUAUUGUAAAAAUAACACAAUCUGAAUUAUCUGCUCUUGCAUUUGAGUUAUCUCCCCUUAUUUGGCAAAGUUGGAAAAAAUUGAAUCAAACAAAAGUAUUCGGUUAAUGGUAAAAUACAACCAUAAAUAUGAUAAAACAUUGCAUUUUCUAUAUUAUAAUGAAAAAUCUUACACAUGAAUUACCUACUUGUCUCACAAUUUGCACAUUUUAUCAAAGAUAUAGACCUUGUUUUCUGGUAUUUCAAAAUCCAAGAUGGAGGAAGACACCCUAUCUACCUUAAAUCG